rnacentral:rRNA from 1 species
GUGCCUGGCGGCAGCUACACAUGCAGUCGAGCGGUAGCACAGAGAGCUUGCUCUCGGGUGACGAGCGGCGGACGGGUGAGUAAUGUCUGGGAAACUGCCUGAUGGAGGGGGAUAACUACUGGAAACGGUAGCUAAUACCGCAUAACGUCGCAAGACCAAAGUGGGGGACCUUCGGGCCUCAUGCCAUCAGAUGUGCCCAGAUGGGAUUAGCUAGUAGGUGGGGUAACGGCUCACCUAGGCGACGAUCCCUAGCUGGUCUGAGAGGAUGACCAGCCACACUGGAACUGAGACACGGUCCAGACUCCUACGGGAGGCAGCAGUGGGGAAUAUUGCACAAUGGGCGCAAGCCUGAUGCAGCCAUGCCGCGUGUGUGAAGAAGGCCUUCGGGUUGUAAAGCACUUUCAGCGGGGAGGAAGGCGGUGAGGUUAAUAACCUCAUCGAUUGACGUUACCCGCAGAAGAAGCACCGGCUAACUCCGUGCCAGCAGCCGCGGUAAUACGGAGGGUGCAAGCGUUAAUCGGAAUUACUGGGCGUAAAGCGCACGCAGGCGGUCUGUCAAGUCGGAUGUGAAAUCCCCGGGCUCAACCUGGGAACUGCAUUCGAAACUGGCAGGCUAGAGUCUUGUAGAGGGGGGUAGAAUUCCAGGUGUAGCGGUGAAAUGCGUAGAGAUCUGGAGGAAUACCGGUGGCGAAGGCGGCCCCCUGGACAAAGACUGACGCUCAGGUGCGAAAGCGUGGGGAGCAAACAGGAUUAGAUACCCUGGUAGUCCACGCUGUAAACGAUGUCGAUUUGGAGGUUGUGCCCUUGAGGCGUGGCUUCCGGAGCUAACGCGUUAAAUCGACCGCCUGGGGAGUACGGCCGCAAGGUUAAAACUCAAAUGAAUUGACGGGGGCCCGCACAAGCGGUGGAGCAUGUGGUUUAAUUCGAUGCAACGCGAAGAACCUUACCUGGUCUUGACAUCCACAGAACUUUCCAGAGAUGGAUUGGUGCCUUCGGGAACUGUGAGACAGGUGCUGCAUGGCUGUCGUCAGCUCGUGUUGUGAAAUGUUGGGGUUAAGUCCCGCAACGAGCGCAACCCUUAUCCUUUGUUGCCAGCGGUCCGGCCGGGAACUCAAAGGAGACUGCCAGUGAUAAACUGGAGGAAGGUGGGGAUGACGUCAAGUCAUCAUGGCCCUUACGACCAGGGCUACACACGUGCUACAAUGGCAUAUACAAAGAGAAGCGACCUCGCGAGAGCAAGCGGACCUCAUAAAGUAUGUCGUAGUCCGGAUUGGAGUCUGCAACUCGACUCCAUGAAGUCGGAAUCGCUAGUAAUCGUAGAUCAGAAUGCUACGGUGAAUACGUUCCCGGGCCUUGUACACACCGCCCGUCACACCAUGGGAGUGGGUUGCAAAAGAAGUAGGUAGCUUAACCUUCGGGAGGGCGCUACCACUUGGAUCAUUUCUG